ACGAUGCGUAGCCGACCUGAGAGGGUGAUCGGCCACACUGGAACUGAGACACGGUCCAGACUCCUACGGGAGGCAGCAGUAGGGACUCUUCCGCAAUGGGCGAAAGCCUGACGGAGCAACGCCGCGUGAGUGAUGAAGGUCUUCGGAUCGUAAAACUCUGUUAUUAGGGAAGAACAAAUGUGUAAGUAACUAUGCACGUCUUGACGG
rnacentral:rRNA from 1 species